CCUACGGGAGGCUGCAGUGAGGAAUAUUGGUCAAUGGACGAGAGUCUGAACCAGCCAAGUAGCGUGAAGGAUGACUGCCCUAUGGGUUGUAAACUUCUUUUAUAAGGGAAUAAAACGAGGCACGUGUGCCUUUUUGCAUGUACUUUAUGAAUAAGGAUCGGCUAACUCCGUGCCAGCAGCCGCGGUAAUACGGAGGAUCCGAGCGUUAUCCGGAUUUAUUGGGUUUAAAGGGAGCGUAGAUGGGUUGUUAAGUCAGUGGUGAAAGUUUGCGGCUCAACCGUAAAAUUGCAAUUGAUACUGGCAGUCUAGAGUGCAGUUGAGGUAGGCGGAAUGCGUGGUGUAGCGGUGAAAUGCUUAGAGAUCACGAAGAACCCCGAUUGCGAAGGCAGCUUACUAAGCUGUGACUGACAUUGAGGCUCGAAAGUGUGGGUAUCAAACAGGAUUAGAUACCCCAGUAGUC
rnacentral:rRNA from 1 species